GCUUGCUAAGGCUGAUGGCGACCGGCGCACGGGUGAGUAACACGUAUCCAACCUGCCGUCUACUCUUGGCCAGCCUUCUGAAAGGAAGAUUAAUCCAGGAUGGCAUCAUGAGUUCACAUGUCCGCAUGAUUAAAGGUAUUUUCCGGUAGACGAUGGGGAUGCGUUCCAUUAGAUAGUAGGCGGGGUAACGGCCCACCUAGUCAACGAUGGAUAGGGGUUCUGAGAGGAAGGUCCCCCACAUUGGAACUGAGACACGGUCCAAACUCCUACGGGAGGCAGCAGUGAGGAAUAUUGGUCAAUGGGCGAUGGCCUGAACCAGCCAAGUAGCGUGAAGGAUGACUGCCCUAUGGGUUGUAAACUUCUUUUAUAAAGGAAUAAAGUCGGGUAUGCAUACCCGUUUGCAUGUACUUUAUGAAUAGGGAUCGGCUAACUCCGUGCCAGCAGCCGCGGUAAUACGGAGGAUCCGAGCGUUAUCCGGAUUUAUUGGGUUUAAAGGGAGCGUAGAUGGAUGUUUAAGUCAGUUGUGAAAGUUUGCGGCUCAACCGUAAAAUUGCAGCUGAUACUGGAUGUCUUGAGUGCAGUUGAGGCAGGCGGAAUUCGUGGUGUAGCGGUGAAAUGCUUAGAUAUCACGAAGAACUCCGAUUGCGAAGGCA
rnacentral:rRNA from 1 species